UCCGGUUUAACACCGGCAGUCUCGUUAGAGUGCCCGGCAUGACCCGCUGGCAACUAACGAUAAGGGUUUCGCUCGUUAUGGGACUUAACCCGACACUUCACAGCACGAGCUGACGACAGCCAUGCAGCACCUGUGAUAGUUCCGGAUUGGAUACCGGUCGUAACCAUUUCUGGGUCCUACUUCUACCAUGUCAAGUCCAGGAUAAGGUUCUUCGCGUUGCUUCGAAUUGAGCCACAUGCUCCACCGCUUGUGUGAGCCCCCGUCAAUUCCUUUGAGUUUUAGCCUUGCGACCGUACUUCCCAGGUGGCAGACUUAACAAUUUCGCUCCGACCGCAACGGGGUGUAACCCGCUGCAGUCUAGUCUGCAUCGUUUAGGGCGUGGACUAC
rnacentral:misc_RNA from 1 species